rnacentral:tRNA from 1 species
GAAAAAUUAGUUUAAGUAAAACAUUAGUAUGUCAAACUAAAAAUAUUAAAAUUUAAUAUUUUUUA